CCUACCACUGGUGGAGAAGCGCAGGGGAGAGGCGAGCGUCUCUUCCCCGGCCUCGCGCCGCUGAUCCGGGCGCCUCGGCCUGGCGCUAAAUUUAAAAACGUAGCGCGAGCGAGCGCAGUUUGGUCCCGGAAACGAAACCGAAUUCAACCAGUGGGUCGUCUCCUGGGCUCGGCCAGUCCCUUAGCGCGCCGCGCCACCCGGAGUAGACCCUCCUCCCGCCAUUUCCGGCGGGGCGCGGGGACGGGGGCCUGUGGCUACGGGUUUGUGGCCGCGCGCGCGUCCCGGAGGAGGCGGGCGCUAUGGCCACGCGCGUGGACUGCGGGGACGGGGCUCGCGCCCGGCAGCACGUAUUCCUGGUUCCAGAAUAUUUAAAAGAUGCUUCAAAGAAGACGAAAAGUGGCCUGAUGUUUGUAAAAUUGGUUAACCCUUGUUCAGGGGAAGGAGCCAUUUACUUGUUCAAUAUGUGUCUACACCAGCUGUUUGAAAUCAAAGUUUUCAAGGAAAAGCACCACUCUUGGUUUAUAAAUCAGUCAGUUCAAUCAGGAGGUCUCCUGCACUUCGCCACACCCAUGGACCCCCUGUUUUUGCUCCUCCACUACCUCAUACUGGCCAACAAACAGGGAAAGUUUCAGCCUCUAGAUCAGGUGGUGGUGGAUGAUGCAUUUCCGAAUUGUGUCUUGUUGCUGAAACUUCCUGAACUUGAGAAAGUACUUCACCACGUGACAGAGGAAAAAGAAAUAGGCAACAAGAAAUAUUACAAGUAUAGCAAAGAGAAGACAUUGAAGUGGCUGGAAAAAAAGGUUAAACAAACUGUGGCAGCAUUAAAAACCAAUAAUGUCACUGUCAGUGCUCGGGUGCAGUCAUCUGCAUUUUUCUCUGGUAACCAGGUUUUGAGUGACAAGGAAGAGGAUUACAUUCGUUAUGCCCAUGGUCUGAUAUCUGAUUAUAUCCCUAAAGAAUUAAGUGAUGAUUUAUCCAAAUAUCUAAAGCUUCCAGAACCUUCAGCUCCAAUGCCAAACCCUCCAUCAAAGAACAGAGAGGCACAUUCAUCACUAAACAAGAUAAUGUCACCUCUCCAAAUGGAUAAUACCACAUCUGUGCCCGCCAAUUCUCCUUUGGGCUGCAUCUUAAAUAAUUGGGAUGCUUUUAAGGCUGACAGUCUAAAUAAAAGCAGACUAACUUUUCUUUGCAACAUGGCAUGGCCUCAAUACAAAUUGAAAAGUAGGGAGAUUUGGCCAGAAAAUGGGACCUUAAAAUUGAACACUAUCUUGCAGCCGGAUCUCUUUUGCAAACAAGAGGAGAAAUGGACAGAAGUACCUUAUGUCCAGGUCUUUAUGGUCUUAUACCAGGACCCAAAACUUAAGGGUCUCUGUAAAAUACACAAUGACCAUUUUCCUUUAACUAAAGUCCAGGAAGAAAGUGCUCCCCUAGAGGAUGCACUUUUGAGUGGUGGCCUUAGAAUGCCAUGUGGGCCCUCCCCAUUGAAAGCCUGCCACUCCCCCCAGACUGUAAUCCCAUGGGUUUCUCAGCCUAAUCUGUCCCAUCUGGUCUACCUAUCAGCCCACCUUCUCAUCAACUCUCAAACCCCCCUCUAUCCAAGGGGAGCGGCCCUACAGGGGAGUGCUGAGAACCGUAUCCCUUCAUGGGGACCCCCAGCUCUCCAGUCUUCAUCCACUUGAGGAAGUCUCAAAUGGAGAAGGGGAAAUCAUGGGAAUAUAUGAUCAUUUUGUUCUGUCAAACUUGGCUCAAUGCAAACAGAAGUUAGGAAAUUUUUCAGAGGAUCCAAACCAAUUUAUAGAUGAAUUUCAGGCCCUGACUCUGACCUUUAAUCUCAGUUGGUCUGACCUACAUGUAGUGUUGUCCACCUGCUGCACUCUUGAAGAAAAGGAUAGUAUUUUGUAUGAAGCUCGGGCACAAGCAGGUAGCCUGACUUUAACCAACCACUAGGGGAUAUAGCCAUACCCCGUGAGGACCCUAACUGGAAUCAUCAACCAGAACACAUCAGCCUUGUUAGGCGUAACCACAUGAUAACUUGUCUUAUCGAAGGAUGAAAAAGUAUAAGGAAAAGGAAAAAUGUGAUAAUUUUGGAAGGUAAAACAGGAAAAAGAUGAAAAUCCUUUAUUGUUUUUAAAUCAGCUAACUGAGGCCUUCCAGAAAUACUCUUCUGUUGAUCCUGACUCUGUGGAUGGGCAAGUGGUAUUAGGGAUAUUUUUCACCUACCAGUCAACCCCAUACAUCAAAAAAGAGAUUCAAAAGAAGGCCUUGAACCAGUUCUUGUCCUUGAAGGAGCUGAAAGAUUUGGCCCCUCUGGCAUUCCACAGAGAAAGAAAGGAAAAGUUUAGGAGGUCCCAGAGGAGAUGGCAACAGGCUAGAGAACAAGCCCAACUAAUUUCAUUUGGUAUGAGAAGCACCUUGCAAUCUCAAGGUGACCCUAGAGGCAGAUGUAGCCCAAAGGGGAAAAACUGGAGACCUGACAGAUGUUUCAGGUAUGGAGAAUCUGGACACUGGAGGAAAAAUUGUCCUAAACAGUGACCACCUCAACCUGGUUUUGUCCCCUAUGUAAUGGGGGAAAAACAAUGGGAGUGAGACUGCCCUUGCCUCCAAAGGGAAGCUGGGAUGGACAUCCUCUCCUAUGAUGAGUGCCCUUGAGGACUGAAUGUAUCCAAGGUUUCAUAUUGUCCCCAUUGGCCAGCUGGACUUCACUCAGGAAGAGUCUCAGGUGACUCUUGACAUGGCAGAAACUAAAGUUAUCAGAUGAGCCUGUAGAAGCAAAAGAAGAUUACACUAAGUUUAACACAAAAGAUUUCAAGA